rnacentral:rRNA from 1 species
AUACGGAGGGUGCAAGCGUUACUGGGAAUCACUGGGCGUAAAGCGCGCGCGGGCGGCCCGAUAAGUUGGAUGUGAAAGCCUACGGCUCAACCGUAGAACUGCAUCCAAAACUGUCGGGCUAGAGUCUGGGAGGGGAAGAUGGAAUUAGUUGUGUAGGGGUAAAAUCCGUAGAGAUAACUAGGAAUACCAAAAGCGAAGGCGAUCUUCUGGAACAGUACUGACGCUGAGGCGCGAAAGCGUGGGGAGCAAACAGGAUUAGAAACCCCAGUAGUCC